rnacentral:rRNA from 1 species
AAUGAACGUUGGCGGCGUGGAUUAGGCAUGCAAGUCGCGCGAGAAGUUUCCUUCGGGAGACGGACAGCGGCGGAAAGGGAGAGGAAUAAGUAGAAAUCUGCCCUCGGGACGGGGAUAGCGGCGGGAAACUGCCGGUAAUACCCGAUAACAUCUUUGGAUCAAAUGGUGUGAUUCCGCCUGAGGAUGAGUCUACUUCCUAUUAGCUAGUUGGUGUGGUAAUGGCUCACCAAGGCAACGAUGGGUAGCGGGUGUGAGAGCACGAUCCGCCUCACUGGGACUGAGACACUGCCCAGACACCUACGGGUGGCUGCAGUCGAGAAUCUUCGGCAAUGGGGGAAACCCUGACCGAGCGACGCCGCGUGCGGGAUGAAGGCCCUCGGGUUGUAAACCGCUGUCGUAAGGGACAAAUCUAAGAGGGUAC